rnacentral:tRNA from 1 species
GCUAGCUUAUGCUAACGGUAAGCAGACAGUUUGCUAAACUGUUGUACCUUCGGGUAUUAAAGGUUCGAGUCCUUUAGCUAGCG